rnacentral:lncRNA from 1 species
GGCGGCGGCGGGGGGAGGACUUGGAGGCGCCCGUGCAGCGGACGACGCCUCCUCCUGCUCCUCCUCCGCCUUCUCUCCCUUGCCGCGCGGAGGCCGCGAGGAGUUGGAGGCAGAGGCCGGAUCGAGGAGGGCGCAGGCGCGGGAGUACUCCGUGGAGGCGAUGGCGGCGUCGAUCUGCGACAUGAGGGACUCCGGGUUCGAAGGGAAGCUGCGGAUCGCGUCGAACGGGCUCCAGCCUCGCCGCCCGCCGCCGGCGCUGCCCGACAUGUCUGCUGCUGCGUUGCGGAUUAGAAUUGAUUGGCAGUAGUACUGUAGCAGUGGCGACUAGCUAGGAGGAAUAGGGAGUAGGGGGAAGUAGGUAAGACCCUGCCUGGCAUACCGUUUUCUACCCAAUACACCUGUAAAAUAAAUACAGACCUCCACCCACAUGUUUAAUUUUCAGCCGGAAAAUACUCAUGUCCAGUAAAAUACACUUAUAAAUUUUACAUCCAUGUAUUAAAUUACACCUAUACCAAGCGCGCCCUAAGGGCAUCUCCAAGGCUGACUUGCAGAUCUCAAAUUGGGCCGCGCAUCCGUCCCGACGCAUAAAAUAACCGUCAAAAUACGGAUCGGGGCAGAAAAACAGCCCGAUCAGACCCCGCAUUCCGUCCCGGUUCAAAAUAAAU